rnacentral:rRNA from 1 species
UACGUAGGUGGCAAGCGUUGUCCGGAAUUAUUGGGCGUAAAGCGCGCGCAGGCGGUCCUUUAAGUCUGAUGUGAAAGCCCACGGCUCAACCGUGGAGGGUCAUUGGAAACUGGGGGACUUGAGUGCAGGAGGGAAGAGUGGAAUUCCACGUGUAGCGGUGAAAUGCGUAGAUAUCAGGAGGAACACCGGUGGUGUAGACGGCUAUCUGGACCGUAACUGACGCUGAGGCACGAAAGCGUGGGUAGCAAACAGG